GUGAGGAAUAUUGGUCAAUGGACGAGAGUCUGAACCAGCCAAGUAGCGUGAAGGAUGAAGGUCCUACGGAUUGUAAACUUCUUUUAUAAGGGAAUAAACCCUCCCACGUGUGGGAGCUUGUAUGUACCUUAUGAAUAAGCAUCGGCUAACUCCGUGCCAGCAGCCGCGGUAAUACGGAGGAUGCGAGCGUUAUCCGGAUUUAUUGGGUUUAAAGGGAGCGCAGGCGGACUCUUAAGUCAGUUGUGAAAUACGGCGGCUCAACCGUCGGACUGCAGUUGAUACUGGGAGUCUUGAGUGCACACAGGGAUGCUGGAAUUCAUGGUGUAGCGGUGAAAUGCUUAGAUAUCACGAAGAACUCCGAUUGCGAAGGCAGCACACUAAUCCGUAACUGACGUUCAUGCUCGAAAGUGUGGGUAUCAAACAGGAUUAGAUACCCCAGUAGUCC
rnacentral:rRNA from 1 species